ensembl:snRNA U6 U6 spliceosomal RNA
GUGCUUGAUUCGGCAGCACAUAAGCUAAAACUGGAAUGAUACAGAGAAGAUUAGCAUGGCCCCUAGGCAAGAAUGACAUGCAAAUUCAUGAAACAUUCCAUAUAAAA